rnacentral:rRNA from 1 species
CCUACGGGUGACAGCAGUGGGGAAUAUUGGGCAAUGGGCGCAAGCCUGACCCAGCAACGCCGCGUGAAGGCAGAAGGCCCUCGGGUUGUAAACUUCUUUUAUUCGGGACGAACCAAAUGACGGUACCGAAUGAAUAAGCCACUGCUAACUACGUACAAGCAGCCGCCGUAAUACGUAGGUGGCAAGCUUUAUCCGGAUUGACUGGAUGUAAGGGGCGCGUAGGUGGGAGUGCAAGUCAGAUGUGAAAUUCCAGGGCUCAACCAUGGAACUGCGUUUGAAACUGUUCUUCGUGAGUGAUGGAGAGGCAGGCGGAAUUCCGGGUGUAGCGGUGAAAUGCGUAGAUAUACGGAGGAACACCAGUGGCGAAGGCGGCCUGCUGGACAUUAACUGACGCUGAGGCGCGAAAGCGUGGGGAGCAAACAGGAUUAGAUACCCCUGUAGUC